AAUGUAAUAUUGUGUUUAAUUAAAAAUAUUAAAUAGGCUGAACUCAAUUUUUAUCAAUUUGUUAUUAGAACUCAAUUUAAAUAAGUUACCAGUACUUUUUAUGCAAAAAUGCUGAUAAACUCGAUUAAUUUGAGUUGUCCUAACUUAGAAAAACUAAGUAAGCUGGAAGUUUUGCUUCUCAGGGCGGAAGGAUGAAAGAUGUGUUUUGAAAAUGCCACGUGACUACCGUCCUCCUCCCUCCCGGAUCAGUCCGCAUGUUCAUGGCGCCAGCAUUUGUUAUGGAAUAUAUUGAGCAAACCUGGAGAUAUUAUUGUUGUCAUUGCUGUGGAUCUUUACUGACUUGGCUCGGGACCAGCACUCCUGUUGUUGGACAGAAAGACAUCAACUCAGUGACUUGAGAUGUGACUGCACGAUGCUGUUGCUUCGACUCCAGUUAAUUCUACAAGACAUGCUGUGACACCAGGAGAGAUGAGUCCUCCGUCACAGAU